GCCUUAGAUUUAUAAUUUUGAAAAUGGAUUUUUUUUUU
rnacentral:rRNA from 1 species